GCGUAAUAGCUCACUGGUCGAGUCGGCCUGCGCGGAAGAUGUAACGGGGCUAAACCAUGCACCGAAGCUGCGGCAGCGACACUAUGUGUUGUUGGGUAGGGGAGCGUUCUGUAAGCCUGCGAAGGUGGCCUGUGAGGGUUGCUGGAGGUAUCAGAAGUGCGAAUGCUGACAUAAGUAACGAUAAAGCGGGUGAAAAGCCCGCUCGCCGGAAGAC
rnacentral:rRNA from 1 species